rfam:Schistosoma haematobium scaffold323_21, whole genome shotgun sequence.
AUCCGGCUGACGCGUCCUAAAUAGAACGAAACGCGUAUUCUGGAU